CGUGGGAACGACCGGAGCUGCCCGGAGCCCGAAGUAGCUGCUGGAGGAAGAGGAGAAGAAAGGAGGCGGUGGUGAUGAAGAAGAGCCCAGAGGGAGGAAGACGGAGGAGAAACCUGGCAGCUUUUCUGUGUCUGAACGCUUCAUGCUGCUGAUCAUAAGGAGCAAUGACAGCCCCGUUUAUGUCCACGCGUCUCUCUGUGUGCACACGUGUCCAUCUCAUUCAGCGCUGACAUUCUGCGGGGCUGAUCAGGAGUCAGCCCCUGCCUGUAAAUGGGCGGCGCAAUUCGCCCGGGGUGACUCGUAGGCCGUUGCCAUGGCAGUGGAAGGUGACGACGCACGGUUCUCCCCAUGCUGUCGGCUGCAGUCAGCGAUGAGGACCGUAGGCUGGCUGGUCCCUGCAGCAUCUACCACUAACCGGCUCUCACACACUCAUCAGUCUGCCCCACAUUUGCACACAUAAUGAUGCAAAUGACAGCCAUUCACAUGUAGAUGAGUAUCUGCUGACAGGCUUCUGAAGUACUGGUAAAUCACACAAAUCUAUCAUUUCAUUCAUUCUGUGCAUUUGCUUAAAAUUAACAUGCGGCCUCAGAGCCCUGUUAGAAGAAAGGUGUGUGCGUAGGGAAGCUGGUAAAGAGAAAGUCGAGGGGGCAUCAGAGCGAAAGCGACGAGACACUGUAUGAAGUGACUGCUCCUGCCCCUUAUUUCAUCUUCUUUUACAAGCUGCACUGCCUCCCCGGGUCUGAUGAAUAUUUGAUAGGCAUUUGCUGCUUCAUCUGCAUGCUUUACAACUUAGGUCCAUACAACCUCAACACUGGUAGGCUCUGCUGCACCAGUCGUUCCUUCACCCAUGCUCCCCGUUCUCCCAGAGGUUCCUUUAUAUUUCCUCAGAAGACAGCAAAAGGGAGGAAAAAAGACCUCGGAGCGAAAGGGUAUUUCCUCUGAUGCGUGUUUCUCCUGCACGCAGGAGUGUGUUUGUGCUGCCGCACCCAUGCAGAGAGCUGCAUUUGAACUGAAGCAAGUGAAGUUGGAAGGUGUUGUCAAUGGGAAGGUGACCAGGGAUUAACAGAUGUUUUUAACCCGAAAAACGUCAAGCUUUGAAAGGCGUGCUUUAAUGAAAGUCUCAUCAAACAGUAGCUGGGAAAGGCUUCAAAAACUAUCCUUCACUGCUGUGUGGAGGUGGGAGGAAAACACUGAGUUUACUGACAAGGAGCUCAUUUUCCGAGGUUUCAAAUGUUCUCCACAGUCAUCUGUCUUGAUCCGUAUCCCAGGUAUAUAAAAUUAGAUUAUUUGUGGUUGUGAAUUAUGGGGGUUAUGUGCUAUUUUCACAGAUGCGGCUUCCUGUCAGAACAGCAUCACCUGAUAUUAAAGGCUGCAGUUUCAGUCACAUCGCUCCAUCUGUGCUGAUGUUCCUCUGGAAACUGUCAAAAACAUCACUGUUCUGUAGGUGGGAAUACAUGUUAGGAGUGGUUAUAUACAUAUAUAUAUAUACAUAUAUAUAUAUACAUACACACACACACACACAUAUAUAUACACAUAAAAAUCAACCAAAAUCCAGCAAAUUUCGCUGGAUUUUGGUUGAUUUUUUUGUGAAUGUUCUUAAGAAACAUUUAACUUUUUUAUCCCCACCAAAAAAAUGUUAAAAAAUUUCCCAAAAAUGUUGAAAAUGUGGACAUCAGAAGUUUCACUGUGAAUUUUUUUUUCCCCCCACAUUUUCAAACUUUACACGGGGUCAAUUUUGACCCGCAGGACGACACGAGGGUUAAGUAUUAUGCUAAAAAUACCAGGAAAUUGCAUUUAUUUCUCUUUUUUUAAACAGACAAUUGCUUGUAUUUUUCUGCCUUCUUGAAUUAUAUACCAAUUUAAAUGGAAUAAUUAUCCAUAGUUUAAUAUGUAGCUCUUAUGCCCUAUUAUCAAUUUCACAUUUUUUCUCGCAAUUUUAAGGUAAAUAUGUUUAGUUUUGAAUGUACUUUUACAUUUAAAUGCUAUGUUCUGAAUGCAAAUGAAAUAUUGUUGGAGCUCUUCUGCUCUCAUGGUUGCUUAUAUUUUUGAACUUUGUCUCCUAGCAUUUCCUUCCUGACUUAAAACUCUUUUUUGUAAACCAGUCUUCGCUUUAUGCUGCAGUAUACGAGCCAUUUUUAGUUUUUCCAAUUCCUCCUCAGGAGAUUUGCGGAAUUAUUUGUGAACAGUUGGUUGAUGUUGUGAAUUUUCAUCUGAAUAAAUUAAACAGAAGUGUCGCAGAAUUGA